GACGAACGCUGGCGGCGUGCUUAAUACAUGCAAGUCGAGCGAGGUUACUGUUUUGGAUCCCUUCGGGGUGAAGAAGCUUUAACCUAGCGGCGGACGGGUGAGUAACGCGUGGGUAACCUACCCCAAAGUCCCGGGAUAACAGCGGGAAACCGCUGCUAAUACCGGAUGCCUUUACCUUGGGGCAUCUUGAGGUAAAGAAAGGCAACGCUUUGGGAUGGGCCCGCGUCCCAUUAGCUAGUUGGUGAGGUAACGGCUCACCAAGGCGACGAUGGGUAGCCGGCCUGAGAGGGUGGACGGCCACACUGGGACUGAGACACGGCCCAGACUCCUACGGGAGGCAGCAGUAGGGAAUAUUGCGCAAUGGACGGAAGUCUGACGCAGCGACGCCGCGUGAGCGAUGAAGGUCUUCGGAUCGUAAAGCUCUGUCCUUGGGGAAGAAGGCGAAAGCUUGACGGUACCCAAGAAGAAAGCCCCGGCUAACUACGUG
rnacentral:rRNA from 1 species